CUUCAUACUUGGAGUGUGUUUUAAGAAACAUGGCCAGUAAAACCAUUCAAGUACAGUUUGUUUAUUGUCCGAAAUGUCAAAAGCUUCUAACAGAGUUGAUCAAACAUCUGGUGAGCAAAGGGUAAGCUGAUGAAUGGUUAGGAAAUAGCAAGGAAAAGGCUUUCCAAGAAUUUUGGGCAAGGGAAUAAAGAAUUCAAAAUUGAGGUUUUGUUGAUUGCAAAACUUCAACACAUGAAUCUUGUUGGGAUUAUCAAAUUGGCAGUUAUCUGCCAAUUGUUUUAUUUGGUGUAGGCCACAUGAUGAGUGGACGAGCCUGAUUUUUAUGUUGAGCAUUCUUCAUGGUGGGGGCCAAACCUUUUGGACGAGUGGGAUGUUGUACACACUUGACACUUUGGAAUUUAUGCUCCGGGUGGAUGGUUUGCCACAUCUUGAUGUUAGAAUAAAGUGGCCAAAUGAUCUUUACUUAAAUGGCCUUAAAGUAGGCAGCAUCCUGUGCACCUCAAUAUAUAAAUCAAAUAAGUUCAAUGUGAGUGCUAGAACAAGAGCAUGUUUCUUCUGUUGAUAAUCUAUUUUUCUUUCUUAGUCAGCAUGGUUGCACAUGCCUAAGUUGGAUUGAUGUUGUGGAGAUGUUUUCCUUGUGAUGGCCCAUUGCCUUCAACAUCAAGAUGUCGCUCAUUGUCUUUAAGAUUCUUGUUCAAUGGCCUUUAAUAGGAACAAUCAUGAUCUUUUACACAAAAAUAGAUCAAAUCAACAAUUUGAUCCAUCUACUUGUUAGUACCCGUCAUGAACAGAGUUCCCUUUGUGUUUUAGCUAAAUGGUGGAAUAGUCGUGGCUGUUUGGUAGUUUAGACUUUUUGUUGUUAAGCUCUUAGUUUUUAUUUAUUUAUUUAUUUAUCUUUAAAUUCAUUUUCAUUUGUUGUUUGGGUGCAGUUAGUGUCUGCAGAUUUCCAAUCUACUCAACAGAUGAAGAGUGGGCUAGAUGAUGGCCUGUUGAGAUUGAUUGAACAGAUCAUAUGCGUCCAAAUGAG